AAGAUGAAGGCUCUGGCAGAUUUGGUGUCUGGUGGGGGCUUGGUUUCUGCCUCUAAGAUGAUGCCUUGACCGCUGCUUCCUCUGGAGGGGAACAACAAUGUCCUCACAUGGCAGAAGGGAUUGAAGGGACUAGCUAGUUUUAUUAUCAAGCCCUUUGAUAAUAUAACUAAUCCAUUCAUGAGGGCUGACUGCUCAUGACUUAAUCACCUCUUAAAGGCCCUGCCUGUUAAUUGAGUCCUACAUUUGGGAUAAUCUUCAGAUCUACCUCUUUGUCAAAAAGUCACCAUAUCAUCAGCCAACCUCUUACAGGCCACGCUUAUUGCUCUCUGGAGAACGGGGCUCAGGUCAAACUUCUCACCUUGCUCCAGCACUUUUGCACACUCUAGAAAGAUUCUCUGUGCAUAGACUAGAUCUCCCAGCACUUUAUUCAGUUAGUGCCAAAACACCUGAGGAAUCAUGUGCACAGCCCAAAAUAAACUCUACAUGGGCAGUGGAACUAUAAAAGUACUGGAAAAAUUCAC
rnacentral:sRNA from 1 species